GAUGAACGCUGGCGGCGUGCCUAAUACAUGCAAGUCGAGCGAACCACUUCGGUGGUGAGCGGCGAACGGGUGAGUAACACGUAGGUGAUCUGCCCAUCAGACGGGGACAACGAUUGGAAACGAUCGCUAAUACCGGAUAGGACGAAAGUUUAAAGGUGCUUCUGGCACCGCUGAUGGAUGAGCCUGCGGCGCAUUAGCUAGUUGGUAGGGUAAAGGCCUACCAAGGCGACGAUGCGUAGCCGACCUGAGAGGGUGAACGGCCACACUGGGACUGAGACACGGCCCAGACUCCUACGGGAGGCAGCAGUAGGGAAUCUUCGGCAAUGGGCGAAAGCCUGACCGAGCAACGCCGCGUGAAUGAUGAAGGCCUUCGGGUUGUAAAAUUCUGUUAUAAGGGAAGAACGACUUUAGUAGGAAAUGGCUAGAGUGUGACGGUACCUUAUGAGAAAGCCACGGCUAACUACGUGCCAGCCGCCGCCGUAA
rnacentral:rRNA from 1 species